rnacentral:rRNA from 1 species
CUGUCUCCAGCGUCGACUCAGUGAAAUUGAACUCUCCGUGAAGAUGCGGGGUACCCGCGGUCAGACGGAAAGACCCCGUGAACCUUUACUAUAGCUUCACAGUGGACUCUGAUAUUACUUGUGUAGGAUAGCUGGGAGGCUUUGAAACCUAGGCGCUAGCUUAGGUGGAGCCAAUCUUGAAAUACCAGCCUGGUACUAUUGGGGUUCUAACUCUGGACCAUUAUCUGGUUCGAGGACAUUGUGUGGUGGGUAGUUUGACUGGGGCGGUCUCCUCCCAAAGUGUAACGGAGGAGCACGAAGGUGCGCUAAUCACGGUCGGAAAUCGUGAGGUUAGUGUAAUGGCACAAGCGCGCUUAACUGCGAGACUGACAAGUCGAGCAGGUACGAAAGUAGGUCAUAGUGAUCCGGUGGUUCUGUAUGGAAGGGCCAUCGCUCAACGGAUAAAAGGUACUCUGGGGAUAACAGGCUGAUACCGCCCAAGAGUUCAUAUCGACGGCGGUGUUUGGCACCUCGAUGUCGGCUCAUCUCAUCCUGGGGCUGUAGCCGGUCCCAAGGGUAUGGCUGUUCGCCAUUUAAAGAGGUACGUGAGCUGGGUUUAGAACGUCGUGAGACAGUUCGG